AACGUAGGAGACGAACGUUAUCCGGAGUUACUGGGCGUAAAGCGCGCGUAGGCGGUACGGUAAGUAAGGUGUGAAAGCCCCAGGCUUAACCUGGGGAGGUCAUCUUCGACUGCCGCACUCGAGACCUGCAGAGGGUGGUGGAAUUGCUGGUGUAGUGGUGAAAUGCGUAGAGAUCAGCAGGAACACCAAGGACGAAGGUACCUACCUGGGCAGUAUCUGACACUCAAGUGCGACAGCGUGGGGAGCGAACCGG
rnacentral:rRNA from 1 species